rnacentral:rRNA from 1 species
AUUGAACGCUGGCGGCAGGCUUAACACAUGCAAGUCGAGCGGGGUGAUGGUGCUUGCACUAUCACUUAGCGGCGGACGGGUGAGUAAUGUUUAGGAAUCUGCCUAUUAGUGGGGGACAACAUCUCGAAAGGGAUGCUAAUACCGCAUACGUCCUACGGGAUAAAGCAGGGGAUCACUUGUGACCUUGCGCUAAUAGAUGAGCCUAAGUCGGGUUAGCUAGUUGGUGGGGUAAAGGCCUACCAAGGCGACGAUCUGUAGCGGGUCUGAGAGGAUGAACCGCCACACUGGGACUGAGACACGGCCCAGACUCCUACGGGAGGCAGCAGUGGGGAAUAUUGGACAAUGGGGGGAACCCUGAUCCAGCCAUGCCGCGUGUGUGAAGAAGGCCUUAUGGUUGUAAAGCACUUUAAGCGAGGAGGAGGCUCUUUUGGUUAAUACCCAAGAUGAGUGGACGUUACUCGCAGAAUAAGCACCGGCUAACUCUGUGCCAGCAGCCGCCGUAA